UCCCUCUCAGGGUCGCACCUGGAGAGUUUCCGGUCCUCUUCCAGUCUUGGCUAUGGUAGGGAGAGUCAAGCAGAGGCCUAUCCAUUCCAUUGCUAGCUUGGCCAGUGGCUAGCGAGUGGAAGGUAAUCUGCUGCAAGU
rnacentral:snoRNA from 1 species